GGCCUGGCCGCAAGGUGCGGACACCCAGAUUGGAGCAGGGCUGGGGAAAGGCGAGAGGAGUGAGAGCUCCAGCCUGGAAAACCUAAGGGCUGCAGGCCUGACUACAGGCCAAAUAGGUGCAGGGUUGCAGAGGAGCAGCCCAUGGGUAGGCGGAGGCAGCAGGUUCAAAAUGCCCUUGCCCGUGAUGUGUGGCGUAUACACUGCAGUCUGCCCUGAUAUAAGGGGCUAAGUGGGGACUGGCAGUAACCCAGACUGAGGCAAGGUAGGGUUUGAGGGUGAGGGUUCCCCUAGUUGGGGAGACCCAGAACCUGAGUGUGUGGGGGUACUGCCAGGGGGGCAGCACCCCAGAGAAAGGGAUACCGGGUCUUGGGAGGGACAUGGGGGGCCGGCAGUAAGGUGAAUCACUGGCCUGCAGAGAGUGCUCCGGUGGUUGGAUGAGCUAAUUCCUGAUGGCAGGAGGUGCCACAGGGACUAACACGGCUGCUACUCUGAAACCUGUCACAUAAACAAUGCGACCCACCCUGAUUAAUUGGUCUGUUCUAAAACAUGGCUGUUAGACCAGAUGAAAAGGCGAAGGCACGAGAGUAUUUGUGUGUCAUCGGUCAUACCUCACCCACAUCCCCUGAACCGAAGGGACGUGCACUUCUCUGUCUGUACCCGGCCAGUGUGGAAAACGGCCGACUGAAGGGCAACGUAUUUUUUGGACGAAUUCAGGCUUAUGUUGAACAUGCAACACCUGGCAGACAGGAGGAAUGGAGAGGCUAAUGAAUACCCUUUGGAACAAAACACCACCUCUCAUCUUACCACAUUCCUUACAUGAUUGCCAGGCUGGGGAGAUGAUCAACUCUGAAAACACUCACAUGUUCAAAGCCAAGAGAUUUAUAGUGAUCUCAUCACAGGCCCACAAAGAACUGUGCUCUUUGGUACAAUGUUGCACCUGAAAUCCGUUUGAGGAGAGAUUGGCAGAACUGCUGAGGGUGCCCUGAACCUUCAGCCUUUGUUGUUUGUCAACCCACUAGUUUUGUUGCUUGUCUCUUGUUUGAAGAACAUGAGGAAUAGUGCCACAUAAUUGAUGGAAAAUAUAAACGUUUCACCUACUGUUUAGGACAGAUGAGUGUGUAGCCACACCUUGCUCUGAACCUGUCAGGGUGGGUGAGUUCAGUGUGCAAAGGGAACAGAGCGGAUUGGAUCAAGGGGCUGAGUUUCAGUCUGGGGCACUUCGGAGUGGUCUCAGGAACCCAGUUUUCCUAAUCCUACUUGUAUGUAGUGAUGGGCAAACCUCAAAGGUUUGGAAGAUUAGUUCAGUUCAAAUAAACAGCCAACGCGUGUGUGUGUGUGUCUCAACUAUAACCAGCAUCUCCAAAGCUGGGCUGGAGUUUUCAAGAGGAUGCAGCCUCUCAUCAGAUUCUGGCUAUUUCCUACUUCUGAUCAAGCUGCAGUCUGGAAAUACAGAGACAACAUCACAAAGGAAAAAUGUUGGGGCUAAAAUGCUUCUAAUGCCAUAAAGGAUCCACGUGUAACCUGCACUUAGAGAAUGGGUCUUUGUCCUGCUUUAGAAGCUGGGCUAUGUAAGAGGUUAAUGCUGAUAAAUCCGCUAAAUGUGCUAACCAGAGGACUCAUUCCUUUUAGAUUGAAUGAUCAUGAUUUCUGGUUUUAAUGGUGAAGGUUUAUAGUUUAAGCCCCACUGUUGAUCAAUGGAGAUCAUUUUUUGGUUAUUUGGGUUUGAGGUUGGAAUGAAGUUCAGGUUGGUUGUUAAUUUAAUGAAAUAUCAAGGGUGUGGUUUUUAUUACACCACUGGUUUUCCGUGGGUCCCCGAGUUUGAGGAGAAACCAUACGGAAGGGCCCCAGGAAUUUCCAAACCCGGCUUCUCCAUGGAAAGCAUCACCUAUGAUGUGUGACUGGACUUUGGACGUGGUGGGAGAAAAAGUUUUUAUAUUCUUUCCACUCACUAAUUGCACAUUUCUAUAUAAUAUGGUGGUUGGAACAUUAAUCUCAUUAAAAUAUACAAAUAUUGU